rnacentral:rRNA from 1 species
UACGAAGGGGGCUAGCGUUGUUCGGAAUCACUGGGCGUAAAGCGCACGUAGGCGGACCGUUAAGUCGAGGGUGAAAUCCCAGGGCUCAACCCUGGAACUGCCUUCGAUACUGGCGAUCUUCGAGUCCGGGAGAGGUGAGUGGAACUCCGAGUGUAGAGGUGAAAUUCGUAGAUAUUCGGAAGAACACCAGUGGCGAAGGCGGCUCACUGGCCCGGUACUGACGCUGAGGUGCGAAAGCGUGGGGAGCAAACAGG